UGCAGUCGAGGGGCAGCAUUUCAGUUUGCUUGCAAACUGGAGAUGGCGACCGGCGCACGGGUGAGUAACACGUAUCCAACCUGCCGAUAACUCGGGGAUAGCCUUUCGAAAGAAAGAUUAAUACCCGAUGGUAUAAUCAGACCGCAUGGUCUUAUUAUUAAAGAAUUUCGGUUAUCGAUGGGGAUGCGUUCCAUUAGGCAGUUGGUGAGGUAACGGCUCACCAAACCUUCGAUGGAUAGGGGUUCUGAGAGGAAGGUCCCCCACAUUGGAACUGAGACACGGUCCAAACUCCUACGGGAGGCAGCAGUGAGGAAUAUUGGUCAAUGGGCGCAGGCCUGAACCAGCCAAGUAGCGUGAAGGAUGACUGCCCUAUGGGUUGUAAACUUCUUUUAUAUGGGAAUAAAGUUUUCCACGUGUGGAAUUUUGUAUGUACCAUAUGAAUAAGGAUCGGCUAACUCCGUGCCAGCAGCCGCGGUAAUACGGAGGAUCCGAGCGUUAUCCGGAUUUAUUGGGUUUAAAGGGAGCGUAGGUGGACAGUUAAGUCAGUUGUGAAAGUUUGCGGCUCAACCGUAAAAUUGCAGUUGAUACUGGCUGUCUUGAGUACAGUAGAGGUGGGCGGAAUUCGUGGUGUAGCGGUGAAAUGCUUAGAUAUCACGAAGAACUCCGAUUGCGAAGGCAGCUCACUGGACUGCAACUGACACUGAUGCUCGAAAGUGUGGGUAUCAAACAGGAUUAGAUACCCUGGUAGUCCACACAGUAAACGAUGAAUACUCGCUGUUUGCGAUAUACAGUAAGCGGCCAAGCGAAAGCAUUAAGUAUUCCACCUGGGGAGUACGCCGGCAACGGUGAAACUCAAAGGAAUUGACGGGGGCCCGCACAAGCGGAGGAACAUGUGGUUUAAUUCGAUGAUACGCGAGGAACCUUACCCGGGCUUAAAUUGCAUUUGAAUAANUUGGAAACAGGUUAGCCGCAAGGCAAAUGUGAAGGUGCUGCAUGGUUGUCGUCAGCUCGUGCCGUGAGGUGUCGGCUUAAGUGCCAUAACGAGCGCAACCCUUAUCUUUAGUUACUAACAGGUCAUGCUGAGGACUCUAGAGAGACUGCCGUCGUAAGAUGUGAGGAAGGUGGGGAUGACGUCAAAUCAGCACGGCCCUUACGUCCGGGGCUACACACGUGUUACAAUGGGGGGUACAGAAGGCAGCUACCUGGUGACAGGAUGCUAAUCCCAAAAGCCUCUCUCAGUUCGGAUCGAAGUCUGCAACCCGACUUCGUGAAGCUGGAUUCGCUAGUAAUCGCGCAUCAGCCAUGGCGCGGUGAAUACGUUCCCGGGCCUUGUACACACCGCCCGUCAAGCCAUGAAAGCCGGGGGUACCUGAAGUACGUAACCGCAAGGAGCGUC
rnacentral:rRNA from 1 species